rnacentral:rRNA from 1 species
AGUGAACGCUGGCGGUAGGCCUAACACAUGCAAGUCGAACGGCAGCACAGUAAGAGCUUGCUCUUACGGGUGGCGAGUGGCGGACGGGUGAGGAAUACAUCGGAAUCUACUUUUUCGUGGGGGAUAACGUAGGGAAACUUACGCUAAUACCGCAUACGACCUACGGGUGAAAGCAGGGGAUCUUCGGACCUUGCGCGAUUGAAUGAGCCGAUGUCGGAUUAGCUAGUUGGCGGGGUAAAGGCCCACCAAGGCGACGAUCCGUAGCUGGUCUGAGAGGAUGAUAAGCCACCCUGGAACUGAGACACGGUCCAGACUCAUACGGGAGGCAGCAGUGGGGAAUAUUGGACAAUGGGAGCAAGCCUGAUCCAGCCAUACCGCGUGGGUGAAGAAGGCCUUCGGGUUGUAAAGCCCUUUUGUUGGGAAAGAAAAGCAGCAGGUUAAUACCCCGCUGUUCUGACGGUACCAAAAGAAUAAGCACCGGCUAACUUCGUG